UGAGGAAUAUUGGUCAAUGGACGCAAGUCUGAACCAGCCAUGCCGCGUGCAGGAUGACGGCUCUAUGAGUUGUAAACUGCUUUUGUACGAGGGUAAACGCAGAUACGUGUAUCUGUCUGAAAGUAUCGUACGAAUAAGGAUCGGCUAACUCCGUGCCAGCAGCCGCGGUAAUACGGAGGAUUCAAGCGUUAUCCGGAUUUAUUGGGUUUAAAGGGUGCGUAGGCGGUUUGAUAAGUUAGAGGUGAAAUUUCGGGGCUCAACCCUGAACGUGCCUCUAAUACUGUUGAGCUAGAGAGUAGUUGCGGUAGGCGGAAUGUAUGGUGUAGCGGUGAAAUGCUUAGAGAUCAUACAGAACACCGAUUGCGAAGGCAGCUUACCAAACUAUAUCUGACGUUGAGGCACGAAAGCGUGGGGAGCAAACAGGAUUAGAUACCCUGGUAGUCCACGCAGUAAACGAUGAUAACUCGUUGUCGGCGAUACACAGUCGGUGACUAAGCGAAAGCGAUAAGUUAUCCACCUGGGGAGUACGUUCGCAAGAAUGAAACUCAAAGGAAUUGACGGGGGCCCGCACAAGCGGAGGAACAUGUGGUUUAAUUCGAUGAUACGCGAGGAACCUUACCCGGGCUUGAAAGUUAGCGACGAUUCUUGAAAGAGGAUUUCCCUUCGGGGCGCGAAACUAGGUGCUGCAUGGUUGUCGUCAGCUCGUGCCGUGAGGUGUCGGGUUAAGUCCCAUAACGAGCGCAACCCCUACCGUUAGUUGCCAUCAGGUCAAGCUGGGCACUCUGGCGGGACUGCCGGUGUAAGCCGAGAGGAAGGUGGGGAUGACGUCAAAUCAGCACGGCCCUUACGUCCGGGGCUACACACGUGUUACAAUGGUAGGUACAGAGGGCAGCUACCCAGCGAUGGGAUGCGAAUCUCGAAAGCCUAUCUCAGUUCGGAUUGGAGGCUGAAACCCGCCUCCAUGAAGUUGGAUUCGCUAGUAAUCGCGCAUCAGCCAUGGCGCGGUGAAUACGUUCCC
rnacentral:rRNA from 1 species